rnacentral:rRNA from 1 species
UGGGGAAUAUUGGACAAUGGGCGCAAGCCUGAUCCAGCCAUGCCGCGUGGGUGAAGAAGGCCCUAGGGUUGUAAACCCCUUUCAGCGGGGAAGAUAAUGACGGUACCCGCAGAAGAAGCCCCGGCUAACUCCGUGCCAGCAGCCGCGGUAAUACGGAGGAUGCAAGCGUUAUCCGGAAUUAUUGGGCGUAAAGCGUCCGCAGGUGGCACUUCAAGUCUGCUGUCAAAGACCAGAGCUCAACUCUGGGCAGGCGGUGGAAACUGGGGAGCUAGAGUACGGUAGGGGUAGAGGGAAUUUCCAGUGUAGCGGUGAAAUGCGUAGAGAUUGGAAAGAACACCAGUGGCGAAGGCGCUCUACUGGACCUGUACUGACACUAAGGGACGAAAGCUAGGGGAGCGAAAGGGAUUAGAUACCCCCGUAGUCC